rnacentral:rRNA from 1 species
AGUGAACCGGGAUGAGCCCAGCACCGAAGCCCGUGCUCUACGAGUACUGGGCAAUGUGGUGUUCAGGAGGGUCGCCGUCUCGGCGCGGGAGCGGUCCAAGUCCCCCUUGAAUGGGGCCAUGGCCCGUGGAGGGUGCUAGGCCCGUACGUGCCGCUGACCUGCGUCGAGAUGACCUCUCCUUCGAGUCGGGUUGCUUGAGAGUGCAGCCCUAAGUAGGUGGUAAACUCCAUCUAAGGCUAAAUAUGACCACGAUACCGAUAGCGAACAAGUACAGUGAUGGAAAGUUGAAAAGAACUUUGAAGAGAGAGUUAAAUCAGUACGUGAAACCGCCAGGUGGAUUAAACGGGUGGACCCUCGAAGCUCGAACGCCAGACUUUCAGCCAGUGGGUCGUACGUCCCGCCGACAUCCGAGGCCAAUGGUCCGGCUGUCGGCGACGGUGUGCGCACUGCCGGUGCACUAGUCUGGAUUAGUAGAACGCCGCGACCAAUUGUCUGCGUUGCCGUGGCCCACGGUGGAGCCCAUCGGUGCACCUCGGUGCACUGGCGGACCCGCGGUGUCCUGGUGACCGGAUCGAUUGUCUACGCAAAGUCGGCACGCCCGCCGCACGGCGCUCGUAUCACUCGGGCGGAGGCGUGCUGCUCAACGGCGAGUAGGUCGGUGUUCCACCCGACCCGUCUUGAAACACGGACCAAGGAGUCUAACAUGUGCGCGAGUGAUUGGCAAUCACUAAUGCCAAACGCGUAAUGAAAGUGAAGGUAUAUUCUAUAUGCCGAGGGGAGACGUGUGUCAAAGCACUGCAUCCCCGGGGCGUAUCAUCCACCUAGUGGAGGUGCGCACCAAGAGCGUACACGUUGGGACCCGAAAGAUGGUGAACUAUGCCUGGCCAGGACGAAGCCAGAGGAAACUCUGGUGGAGGUCCGUAGCAAUUCUGACGUGCAAAUCGAUUGUCUGAGCUGGGUUUAGGGGCGAAAGACUAAUCGAACUAUCUAGUAGCUGGUUCCUUCCGAAGUUUCCCUCAGGAUAGCUGGUGCUCGAUUGAACGGAGUUUCAUCCGGUAAAGCGAAUGAUUAGAGGCCUUGGGGCCGAAACGACCUCAACCUAUUCUCAAACUUUAAAUGGGUGAGAAGUCUGGCUGGCUUGACUGCAGCCCGGACCUUUCGAAUCCGAGUGCCAAGUGGGCCACUUUUGGUAAGCAGAACUGGCGCUGUGGGAUGAACCAAACGUCGAGUUAAGGUGCCCGAGCGGACGCUCAUCAGAUCCCAUGAAAGGUGUUGAUCGCUAUAGACAGCAGGACGGUGGCCAUGGAAGUCGGAAUCCGCUAAGGAGUGUGUAACAACUCACCUGCCGAAGCAAUUAGCCCUGAAAAUGGAUGGCGCUCAAGCGUCCCACCUAUACUCGACCGUUGCGGUAUGACUGCACUUUUAUCGUGCUUGAGACCGCAACGAGUAGGGCGGCGCAGCGGUGAGCGUAGAAGGUUCUGGGCGCGAGCCCGACUGGAGCCGCCGCUGGUGCAGAUCUUGGUGGUAGUAGCAAAUACUCAGGAGGGAUCCUUGAGGACCGAGGUGGAGAAGGGUUCCAUGUGAACAGCCUUUGGACAUGGCUGAGUCGGUCCUAAGCCACGGGGUAAUUCCCCCUUCCCAGAUUUGUGAGCACUCACGCGACUGAAAUCCGGGUUGAC